rnacentral:rRNA from 1 species
CUACGGGUUGCAGCAGUAAGGAAUAUUGCGCAAUGGAGGCAACUCUGACGCAGCCAUGCCGCGUGCAGGAAGAAGGCCUUAUGGGUCGUAAACUGCUUUUAUUAGGGAAUAAACCCUCGCUCGUGAGCGAGGCUGAAGGUACCUAAAGAAUAAGCACCGGCUAACGGCGUGCCAGCAGCCGCGGUAAUACGGAGGGUGCAAGCGUUAUCCGGAUUUAUUGGGUUUAAAGGGUGCGCAGGCGGACUAUUAAGUCAGUGGUGAAAUCCCGGGGCUCAACCUCGGAACUGCCAUUGAUACUGAUAGUCUUGAGUUUGGUUGAAGUAGGCAGAAUGUAGCAUGUAGCGGUGAAAUGCAUAGAUAUGCUACAGAACACCAAUCGCGAAGGCAGCUUACUAAGCCAAAACUGACGCUCAUGCACGAAAGCGUGGGGAGCAAACAGGAUUAGAUACCCCGGUAGUC